rnacentral:tRNA from 1 species
GAGGGUAUAGUUCAAAUGGUAGAGCACAUGCUUAGCAUGCAUGAGGUCCUGGGUUCAAUCCCCAGUACCUCUU